rnacentral:rRNA from 1 species
CGGUUUCGGCUGACACUUACAGAUGGGCCCGCGGCGCAUUAGCUAGUUGGUGAGGUAACGGCUCACCAAGGCGACGAUGCGUAGCCGACCUGAGAGGGUGAUCGGCCACACUGGGACUGAGACACGGCCCAGACUCCUACGGGAGGCAGCAGUAGGGAAUCUUCCACAAUGGACGAAAGUCUGAUGGAGCAACGCCGCGUGAGCGAUGAAGGCCUUCGGGUCGUAAAGCUCUGUUGUUAGGGAAGAACAAGUACCGGAGUAACUGCCGGUACCUUGACGGUACCUAACCAGAAAGCCACGGCUAACUACGUGCCAGCAGCCGCGGUAAUACGUAGGUGGCAAGCGUUGUCCGGAAUUAUUGGGCGUAAAGCGCGCGCAGGCGGUCCUUUAAGUCUGAUGUGAAAGCCCACGGCUCAACCGUGGAGGGUCAUUGGAAACUGGGGGACUUGAGUGCAGAAGAGGAAAGCGGAAUUCCACGUGUAGCGGUGAAAUGCGUAGAGAUGUGGAGGAACACCAGUGGCGAAGGCGGC